ensembl:misc_RNA
UUCGCGGCUUCCUGUACAUCUGCCCUUGUGGUUGGGGUCACUCCUCGCGGGCACUGGUUUUUGUCUGCAUCUGGACAACUGGGUG